rnacentral:rRNA from 1 species
AUUGAACGCUGGCGGCAGGCCUAACACAUGCAAGUCGAACGCGUGGCGGACGGGUGAGUAAUGUGUGGGGAACUGCCCGAUGGAGGGGGAUAACUACUGGAAACGGUAGCUAAUACCGCAUACCAUCGGAUGUGCCCAGAUGGGAUUAGCUUGUUGGUGAGGUAACGGCUCACCUAGGCGACGAUCCCUAGCUGGUCUGAGAGGAUGACCAGCCACACUGGAACUGAGACACGGUCCAGACUCCUACGGGAGGCAGCAGUGGGGAAUAUUGCACAAUGGGCGCAAGCCUGAUGCAGCCAUGCCGCGUGUAUGAAGAAGGCCUUCGGGUUGUAAAGUACUUUCAGCGGGGAGGCGUUACCCGCAGAAGAAGCACCGGCUAACUCCGUGCCAGCCGCCGCGGUAAUUC